GCCGCGUGAGGGUUGACGGCCUUCGGGUUGUAAACCUCUUUUAGUAGGGAAGAAGCGAAAGUGACGGUACCUGCAGAAAAAGCACCGGCUAACUACGUGCCAGCAGCCGCGGUAAUACGUAGGGUGCAAGCGUUGUCCGGAAUUAUUGGGCGUAAAGAGCUCGUAGGCGGUUUGUCGCGUCUGCUGUGAAAUCCCGAGGCUCAACCUCGGGCUUGCAGUGGGUACGGGCAGACUAGAGUGCGGUAGGGGAGAUUGGAAUUCCUGGUGUAGCGGUGGAAUGCGCAGAUAUCAGGAGGAACACC
rnacentral:rRNA from 1 species